AUGUUGUUCACCGCUUUGAGCGUCAACAACUGCGAACUU
rnacentral:sRNA from 1 species